GAGGACUGCCAAGACCUCAGAAUGGUUGGCUUUGGACACAAAUACAUGCAUUCAUUUACGCAGACCGAUAAUUUUGGCCCCAUAUGGCACGGGAACGGCGUGCUGUUGGAAUUUGACUUGAAAUUGCAUUUCACUCAAUCUAGAUCAGUAUUGGGGCGAACCUGUUCAGUAGGAUUCAAGCAUGAAGAAGAAGGGAAAAAACACCAAAACGACAAUUACAGCUACAAAAAAAAAAGUCACUUAUCCAACAUGGUGUCCGUGUUAUGUGGAUGGCCUUAAGCCCCUUUCACAUGAAUAGCAUCAAGGAUUCGAUCCAUGUCUCAACACAAGCGUCUUAUGCUUUGACGCUUACAUGAAAAGAUACCAUUACAGAAAGGUGAUUUUACACGGUUGCUGGGAAGAAAGAAACCAGAGAACCAUUCACAAUGAAAAUGAAAGAGCUCACAUGUGUGUGAGCUUAAAACAGAAAGAAAAUCGCUUGUCAAACUAGAGUUCUUGAAACUUUUCGCAAAAUGCUUUAGAUAGAAGUUGUGUCGUACAACUCAAUGUGUGGCAAUAGUGAAUUGUCUGGUAAUCCUUGUCUAUAUUAUGAAAUCUAAACAACAAAUGGGGUUAAAGUUGAAACUUUGAGUUUCAUAGAUUGAAGCUUGCCACUUCACACUAGAGUUCAAUGGCGUAAACCAUGUGAAAAGGACUUAAAGGAAUACUGGAACUCAGGUCUUGGGGUAAUUCAGCAAUAAAACAUCCUAAUCAUAGAAAUAUUAUCAUAACACAUCAAUAAUUUCCUGAAUUUUGGAGGCCCAGGUCUGCUAAGGACCAUGUCUUCCAUUUGACCAAUCCCAUAAGGCUACAAGAAAAAGGAGGCAAGUCCUACGCAUAGCUGUUACACAAAUACACCAUCAUCUGGUCUACAUAGUGUAGUUCCAUCAGCUUCACCUUCCCUCCAAUCCCAGCAGGCCUACAGCAUUUAAAAACAAACAACCAGAACGACAAACCCAAAAGGACCUUUCAAGCAUGUUUGAAGUAAGGGAUGCUACAUUGGAGCGUUUUUCACGGUCGUCUUCGUAUCAAAUAUUGAGCAAAUUGAACACUGAAUGACAAAUCAAAAAACAAACAAAAAAAAUCGUAACAUUGAGGCAGUCAGUAAGAACCACUGUGCUAAAUUACAAUAGUGCUCCUUAAUUAUCACAAGCUUUAAAACAGAGCCUUGGGAUUACAUUCUCUAAACGAAAUUACGGCAUUUCUCCACACAUGGACAAACAAAACCACUAAACACACAAAUAAAAAUGAUUGUCCGUUUUCCAUUUGGCGGCAAAUAGUUCCAGAGCAUCCAAUAAAGGGCAAGAUUCCGAAGUAGAACUCAGAUGG